CCUGAGAAACGGCUACCACAUCCAAGGAAGGCAGCAGGCGCGCAAAUUACCCACUCCCGGCACGGGGAGGUAGUGACGAAAAAUAACGAUACGGGACUCAUCCGAGGCCCGGUAAUCGGAAUGAGUACACUUUAAAUCCUUUAACAAGGAUCAAUUGGAGGGCAAGUCUGGUGCCAGCAGCCGCGGUAAUUCCAGCUCCAAUAGCGUAUAUUAAAGUUGUUGCGGUUAAAAAGCUCGUAGUCGAAUUUGUGUCCCACACCGCUGGUUCAUCGUUCGCGGUGUUAACUGGCGUUUUGUGGGACGUCCUGCCGGCGGACUUAGCUUGCAAAAGCGGUCCAAUUUAAUCCUGCCGCGUUGCUCUUCAUUGAGUGUCGAGGUGGGCCGGCACUUUUACUUUGAACAAAUUAGAGUGCUUAAAGCAGGCUAAAAUUUUGCCUGAAUACUGUGUGCAUGGAAUAAUAGAAUAGGACCUCGGUUCUAUUUUGUUGGUUUUCGGAACCCCGAGGUAAUGAUUAAUAGGAACGGAUGGGGGCAUUCGUAUUGCGACGUUAGAGGUGAAAUUCUUGGACCGUCGCAAGACGGAGAGUAGCGAAAGCAUUUGCCAAAAACGCUUUCAUUGAUCAAGAACGAAAGUUAGAGGUUCGAAGGCGAUCAGAUACCGCCCUAGUUCUAACCAUAAACGAUGCCAGCUAGCGAUCCGCCGACGUUCCUCAUAUGACUCGGCGGGCAGCUUCCGGGAAACCAAAGCUUUUGGGUUCCGGGGGAAGUAUGGUUGCAAAGCUGAAACUUAAAGGAAUUGACGGAAGGGCACCACCAGGAGUGGAGCCUGCGCUUAAUUUGACUCAACACGGGAAACCUCACCAGGCCCAGACACCGGAAGGAUUGACAGAUUGAGAGCUCUUUCUUGAUUCGGUGGGUGGUGGUGCAUGGCCGUUCUUAGUUGGUGGAGCGAUUUGUCUGGUUAAUUCCGAUAACGAACGAGACUC
rnacentral:rRNA from 1 species